rnacentral:rRNA from 1 species
AUACAGAGGGCUCAAGCGUUAAUCAGAAUCACUGGGCUUAAAGGGUGCGUAGGCGGGCCUGUUAGUGUCUUGUGAAAUCCCACGGCUCAACCGUGGAACUGCUCGGCAUACUGCAGGCCUUGAGGUCGGUAGGGGCUGUCGGAACUCUAGGUGUAGCGGUGAAAUGCGUAGAUAUCUAGAGGAACGCCAAUAGUGAAGACAGGCAGCUGGACCGAUCCUGACGCUGAGGCACGAAAGCGUGGGUAGCGAACGGGAUUAGAAACCCCAGUAGUCC